UACGUAGGGUGCGAGCGUUGUCCGGAAUCAUUGGGCGUAAAGAGCGUGUAGGCGGUCCGGUCAGUCGGUUGUGAAAGUCAAGGGCUCAACCCUUGAAUGCCGGCCGAUACUGCCGGGCUAGAGUCCGGAAGAGGUGAGUGGAACUCCUGGUGUAGCGGUGAAAUGCGCAGAUAUCAGGAGGAACACCGGUGGCGAAGGCGGAUCUCUGGGCCUUACCUGACGCUGAGGCGCGAAAGCUAGGGGAGCGAACAGG
rnacentral:rRNA from 1 species